AACGUAGGACGCGAGCGUUAUCCGGAGUUACUGGGCGUAAAGCGCGGGCAGGCGGUCUGACAAGUCUGAUGUGAAAUCUCCGGGCUUAACCGGGAGAGGCCAUUGGAAACUGACAGGCUGGAGGGCAGUAGAGGUAGGCGGAAUUCCGGGUGGAGUGGUGAAAUGCGUAGAUAUGUGGAGGAACACCGAUGGCGAAGGCAGCCUUCUGGGCCAACACUGACGCUCAUGCACGAAAGCGUGGGGAGCAAACAGG
rnacentral:rRNA from 1 species